UAUGGGUUUUUCUGUCAAAUCACACUGUUCACUUUUCAGAUAGAAUCUUGAUUCAAGUCUUGAAGUGUGAGGUUGGAUAUUUCAUCCAAUCUUGGUAUAAGUUUUAUAUUUAAAGUUAAUUAUUAGUAUAUCAGAUGUUUUCUUUCAUCAACUGGGUGUCUGUGCUAGUAUUUGACUUUGUCAUCAUCCAAACAUUUGAAACUUGCAGUUUAAAGAGAAUAGAGUACUUUACCUUGUCCCAGAGUCUCUGGCUGGUUCAUUAAAAAAGAAACAUCUUGGUGAUCAAGUGUGUUUGAACACGGGUACCACUAUGGUUCUGUUAGGAAAAGUCUUGGCCGUUGGGAGUGAGGAGUUUGUGAACGAAGAUAACGAAAUGUACGCCGAAAUUCAGGUUUUAUGCCACAGACCGGGAUGUGUUGAAUUCCUUGAUAAUGUUAUUCCUGGUCAAAGCAAGGAGCUUGACGCCUAUGUCCCAAUAGUUAGAUUAUAUACAAAUCUACUAACCAAAGUAUCACGAGAUAUGAAAACAUUGCCAGAAGAACCUCCACGGGCAACGGUGCUUACGGAAUUAAGCAAUUUAAAGGCAUGGGAUGGCAGUUACAAAACUACAAAAAAGAUAUGGCAAUAGAAUGAAAUAAAAUAAAGGAACCACACCAAAUUAAUUGUGUGUAAUAUGGGUCAUGGGUCAGACAUGUACACUAUAGAACAAUGGUGUUUUAGACAGAAGAUUAGACGAAUAAAACUAAACCAUGAUCAUGAACACAACUGACGACUUUGCGGCAAACCAAUGGUGGAGUGAAAUAAAUAAAUGUGAUUUGGGUAAGAUUUGCUCCGGGCAAAUUCAAUGGUCAUUCCUGAAUAACUCAAUUAUUAAUUGGCAAUCAUUACUUGCCAAUUAUAUACUUAAAUCCAGAUAUUCUGUGCAAUGUGAUGUGUAAUGUGAUGUACAACGUGGUGUUAAAUGUGAUGUGAAAUGCGAUGUCAUGUUGUCUGCUAUAUUUCUUGAAUACCGGUAGAUAGAAAAAAACUGCCAUACUACAGAAGAAACUAGUCAACUAGGCUUUCCGAUUUGGACACAUUAAGAGUUAGCUGAUUUGGAAGAAUUAGUUGAUGAGUGACACAAAAUAUUGUUCUAGUGUCAUGUAUUUUAGUCAAUCAGGGAUUUGUAGGGCGUCCAAUCGCAACAUUAUUGUACUUUUGUAAAUUGUAGAUUUUA